rnacentral:rRNA from 1 species
GACGAACGCUGGCGGCGCGCCUAACACAUGCAAGUCGAACGGAGUUAUCUCAGCUGAAGUUUUCGGAUGGACGCAGGGAUAACUUAGUGGCGAACGGGUGAGUAACACGUGAGGAACCUGCCCUGGAGUGGGGGACAACAGUUGGAAACGACUGCUAAUACCGCAUAAGCCCACAGCACCGCAUGGUGCAGAGGGAAAAGGAGCAAUUCGCUUCAGGAUGGCCUCGCGUCCAAUUAGGUAGAUGGUGAGGUAACGGCCCACCAUGCCGACGAUUGGUAGCCGGACUGAGAGGUUGAACGGCCACAUUGGGACUGAGACACGGCCCAGACUCCUACGGGAGGCAGCAGUGGGGAAUAUUGCACAAUGGGGGAAACCCUGAUGCAGCGACGCCGCGUGGAGGAAGAAGGUUUUCGGAUUGUAAACUCCUGUCUUCGGGGACGAUAAUGACGGUACCCGAGGAGGAAGCCACGGCUAACUACGUGCCAGCAGCCGCGGUAAAACGUAGGUGGCAAGCGUUGUCCGGAAUUACUGGGUGUAAAGGGAGCGCACGCGGGUUGGCCAAGUUGGAGGUGAAAGCUGGGGGCUCAACUCCCAAACUGCCCUUCCAAACUGCCGGUCUUGAGUGGGGCAGAGGCAGGCGGAAUUUCCCGGGGUACGGUGGAAUGCGUAGAUAUCGGGAGGAACACCAGUGGCGAAGGCGGCCUACUGGGCACUAACUGACGCUGAGGCUCGAAAGCAUGGGUAGCAAACAGGAUUAGAUACCCUGGUAGUCCAUGCCGUAAACGAUGAUUACUAGGUGUGGGAGGAUUGACCCCUUCCGUGCCGCAGUUAACACAAUAAGUAAUCCACCUGGGGAGUACGACCGCAAGGUUGAAACUCAAAGGAAUUGACGGGGGCCCGCACAAGCAGUGGAGUAUGUGGUUUAAUUCGAAGCAACGCGAAAAACCUUACCAGGUCUUGACAUCCGACGCAUAGCUCAGAGAUGAGUGAAGUCCUUCGGGACGUCGAGACAGGUGGUGCAUGGUUGUCGUCAGCUCGUGUCGUGAGAUGUUGGGUUAAGUCCCGCAACGAGCGCAACCCUUAUCGUCAGUUACUACGCAAGAGGACUCUGGCGAGACUGCCGUUGACAAAACGGAGGAAGGUGGGGAUGACGUCAAAUCAUCAUGCCCUUUAUGACCUGGGCUACACACGUACUACAAUGGCGCUCAACAAAGAGAAGCGAAACCGCGAGGUGGAGCAAACCUCAUAAACAGCGUCUCAGUUCAGAUUGCAGGCUGCAACUCGCCUGCAUGAAGUCGGAAUUGCUAGUAAUCGCGGAUCAGCAUGCCGCGGUGAAUACGUUCCCGGGCCUUGUACACACCGCCCGUCACACCAUGAGAGCCGGGGGGACCCGAAGUCCGUAGCCUAACCGCAAGGGGGGCGCGGCCGAAGGUA